GACGAACGCUGGCGGCGUGCCUAAUACAUGCAAGUAGGACGCAGUUGCGAACGGGUGAGUAACGCGUAGGUAACUGCCCAUUAGAGGGGGAUAACUAUUGGAAACGAUAGCUAAUACCGCAUACUAGUAGAUGGAACUGCGUUGUAUUAGCUAGUAGGUAGGGUAAUGGCCUACCUAGGAGACGAUACAUAGCCGACUUGAGAAGUUGAUCGGCUACAACUGGACUUAGACACGGCCCCGGCUCCUACGGGAGGCAGCAGUAGGGGAUAUGCGGCAAUGGGGGGAAACCUGACGAAGCAACGCCGGGUGAGUGAAGAAGGUUUUCGGAUCGUAAAGCUCUGUUGUUAAGGAAGCGGUACUUAACCAGAAAGGGACGGCUAACUACGUGCCAGCAGCCGCGGUAAUAC
rnacentral:rRNA from 1 species